rnacentral:rRNA from 1 species
CAGUCGCCACGGUAAAACGUAGGGUGCAAGCGUUAAUCGGAAUUACUGGGCGUAAAGCGUGCGCAGGCGGUUUGUUAAGACAGAUGUGAAAUCCCCGGGCUCAACCUGGGAACUGCAUUUGUGACUGGCAAGCUAGAGUAUGGCAGAGGGGGGUGGAAUUCCGCGUGUAGCAGUGAAAUGCGUUGAUAUGCGGAGGAACACCGAUGGCGAAGGCAGCCCCCUGGGCCAAUACUGACGCUCAUGCACGAAAGCGUGGGGAGCAAACAGGAUUAGAUACCCCCGUAGUCCCUGUCUCUUAUAC